CUCUCUAUCAGACACACACAUACUAAAUUCCCAGAAUAUAUAACCCUAAUAACCACUUACUGCAAAACACAAGCACAUAGCUCCACAAAACCUACAUCUAAACUGCCACGCCCUUGAACGCACACACAAACUCAAUACUCAUGUAGUUCUCUACAUGCCCUAAAUAUACCCGCGAUUAACUAACACGCCACAAAUAUGCAAACAUGCCACCUCAUAUCCCCAAAUACACAUACAGUUCCACAAUACUGCCCGGCCCAGUUAUGACCUUCUUUAAUCUGCAAUCUCCACACAGACACAACCAACCCACACACGUGAAUACAUAUUAGAUUCUCACCAAUUAAAUACAUAUCAAAUUCCAAACUAAGAAUUCAUAUAAACACAUUCUCAAGUACACACUAACCCAACCACCCAAGAUACACACGUAUGUGCAGUAAAUUUUAGAUACAUGUGUAGCCUACAAUUUACAAAUAAUAUACCACUACUUUUUAUUUGUAAAUUCCACAUAAGUAAGCGAUUCUCAUGGGAGCUUUUCUUGACUUUGGCCACACUCUUGCAUCCACAACCAACUUGUGCUACCAAGUGAACAGACUAUGACUAAAGGCCUGUUCUUCCACUUUGCAGCU
rnacentral:lncRNA from 10 species